AGCUUUGCACAGUGGCAAUAUCGUAGCCAAUGAGGUUUAACUGAGGAGCAAUUAUUGCUAAUUGAAAAAAAUAAAAACAAAAAUAAAAUCUCUAGCAGAACUAGUU
rnacentral:snRNA from 1 species